CUUUUUUAGAGUCCCUCCCACGUUUUGAUUAAAGCACCGGAGACCAUAAAAUCAGGUAACCAACCGUAUCAGAACUAUUCAUGAUUGGAUGGCCGAGUAGUCGAGUACAUAUACCAACCAUCGGCGUCAAAGCCCCUCUUCCUUCAUAAAUCCAGUUGAAACUCAGAUCAUGGCUUAUUCUACUAUGUGGUUCGUGAUCGAUCCAUUUCCUACUGAGGUACGGUCAUGGCAACUAUUAUUCUUCUCCAUGGAAGGUUCGUGCAGGUGCAGGUCAUGACGACUCAUGCGAAAUCUGAAGCGGCUGCCCUAGAUAUAUAUGCCUGCACGCAGGAGCCGAUUGCCGCCACCUAAGGCCGCCGGCGGCUGUGAUGUCGCCCUCACCGUUGCAAGGGGGUGCCAUGCCGCGCAGCGUCGCAAUUUGCAAGGGACCGUCAAAAGGUUAGUAAAUCAAAACUGCCAUCUAUGGUAUGACGAGCACCUUUAUUGACAACCGUCCUUGCUCUUGCCCCUAAUGGCCGGCGUGUUACAUGCAUCCAUCCAGGUAUAGGAAUUAAUAUACUAAGUUUAGCCUGAAUUCCUGAAUCCAUUCUGAACUAAUCUGUUCUUAUGCUUAUUCUUUUUGAGGAUUCGUCAUCUUCCCAGAGAGAUCGCUGCGCCAGAGAUUUUAUGCGUCAAGAUUUCUGACAAUGCGUGGAGGUUGGAGAGAAGAAGACAAAAUAUGGAUUCACCUUUUUUUAAAACCUUUUAUGUGAACUCCGUAGCUAGCCUGAGUCCAUGAGAAUGAUGUAUCAUAGUUUAAUCCGUGUAAUUUAGGUGUUUUUUUCCCGUUCAAUGUAUGCAGCUUUCCAGUGAGGUGUAAUCGAAUUAAUACAUGUCGCUAUACAUCUAUCUUUAAUUUGACUCCUUUUAAUUUUUGCUUUA